UGAUGUGUUAGAGACCUUCUUUGAGAAGAUGUUUUGCAGGCUGAAGCACAGCGUGGCUAUCAGGGCGCUGACGGUGAUGAUGAUGAUGAUGUAGAUGUUGUAGGUGAUGAUGCAGGUGAUGAUGAUGCAGGUGAUGUGUUAGAGACCUUCUUUGAGAAGAUGUUUUGCAGGCUGAAGCACAGCGUGGCUAUCAGGGCGCUGACGGUGAUGAUGCAAGUGAUGAUGAUGAUGAUGCAGGUGAUGUGUUAGAGACCUUCUUUGAGAAGAUGUUUUGCAGGCUGAAGCACAGCGUGGCUAUCAGGGCGCUGACGGUG